GGGUGGUAUAGUACGUCAUCAACAGGUGCGCGCCACACUUCCCGAUGCGGCUUUUUUGUGUCAAAACAUCUCGAUUCGGUACAUGAAAGAUGAAAAAGGAAACAAAACUUCUAGUCUGCAUCAAUGGAAUUGUCAUUAUAUGUUAAAAAGGAUUGCUGAGUGAUCGGCAUGCAAGACAUAAUUGACGUAUUAUAUUUUCCAAAAGCUGUACGACAUAAUAUUUGAGAAGUGGAGAACAUCCUCUAAAGGAAUUACCCCAGACAAGGAUUUCAACGCUCAACUAGGUCUCCGUACCAAACUUUGUCACGACUAUGUCGGUUGCUGCUUGAAGGGCCACGUGAUCAUCACAAUUGCUCGGGAAAAAUGAGAAAUUACUGUAUCGCGCCAACGAAAUGUUCUUAUUAAAGAGUUUUAGAUGUGCGUAGGGAAAGACCAAGAGUGACUGCAACCGAAUUAUAAUUACCACGUAGUAGAAUGGGACAUCGAUUGAAUCUACACUAGAAAACGGUUCAGGAUUUAACAUUUGACUAAUGUUCAGAUUUUGCUUGCAAAUCUUAGUGCACCCAAUUACAUGUUAAAACUCGAAGUGAGCUUGAACAGUGGUAGAACAAUUUUACUUGCAAUGUAAAUUAUUUUGCUUUUCUUAAACUGUUUUGUUGUUGAAAAUGUUGUUGUAUAAAAGAUUAUUUAAAACAGGAAAUUUUACUGAUUUUUUAUUUAAACGCUUACACAGUGGAAGCCGUUGUGACAUAAACAAUACGCACAUACACUCUCAAGACAUAGCAACAUCUUCCUUUUUAUCAGCUAAUGUUAUAUAUUUACACAAAUCAACGAAAGUAGAUUUAUUACUUGAUUGUAGCAAUUCUAAAUUUUAUACACACUUAUAAAUACGAGUAUAAUGAUAACGUUUCAUUAACUUUGGACGUAAUUCUUUAUAACUCAACAUUUAAAAAAAUGAAAUUCACCUUAAGUUUCAUAAGAUCGAAUAUCUGACACAUUCUUUCCACAAUGUAUGCUUUAAUUUUCUUCGAUCAAAAAGAAGUGUACAUCUCUAUGUCACAUAUUCUCAACAAUUGGAAAUAGUCAGACACCACAGAAAGACAUGAAGUGGAGAUCAACAAAAUCAGAAUAUAAUAGGUCUUGAAACCAUUAAACUGGUAAAUGUUGAGGUUUUGCGCAACUACGCUAAUUAUAACUCAGAAAUUUCAUUAAAAACACACGCAAAUUGAUAAAGUGGCAAUGUAGUAUAUUCUGUGAACGUUUAUUGACCGAAACAUAGAGAUAACAAGAAUAUUAACAUUGUUGUGUUUUACCCGUUAUGAGCAUUAGUGUCAACUACAUUUCAUACAAAGUUUAAUACUGCUGUUGCCUUUCAUCAAAAUCUGUCAAAUGUUAUUUAGAAGAAAGGAGAGGCACUGACAAGACUCUGUGACUUCAACACAGACAGACAAAACAAAACAUGUUUCAAUAAAAAUUCACAAUUGUUUGGUCACGCAAAAUCACAUUAAAUUCCGUUGACAAAAGCUGUCCAUGGCUAAUUAUUGUACGGUAGUGGUCACACGUAACAGUGAGCUGUUUUAAACGGUGUCUGCACAUAUUGCCAGUGAAUGAGCCUCAAACAACGACUACUUUUGUGGUCUUCAUUUCUGACUUUUUCACAAACAUCCACAACAAGCGGGUAUUGUUCUUUCUACAAUUCUGUUUUUUUUUACUUGUCAUUUUAUUCCCAAAAAAUGCAUGUAUUACUAUAUGCAGUUUAUGUUCAUCUGUCUACGGAUAUCAUACUGCUAAACCCCAAAUGUUUAGCUUCAUAAUUUAAUUCUGAUAAACAGAAUAUCUCCGGUGUUUCUGUUGUGAUCUGAAAAAGAAAGAGUAAAUCUGUCAUAAUAUAGCCCUUGAAGGUAAAUUAAACACUGUUUUUACUGACAUAAACGUUCAUUGCUUAAUACUAGUUUUGCUAGUAUGGCAACCGAAGUACCAUGCGUCAAAAUAAAUUGAAGGGCUACAUAUAACACGAUGCCACACGGGCGGUGAGCCGGGAAGUGCAUCGUUUUACCUGGUGAACCGGGAAGGCGAAAUUUUAUAUUACUGAUUUCUUUGAAACUAUAGAUUGCAAUAAUUAAUUAAGAUAUCACUGAC